AUUGGGAUUUUUCGCCAGCUACAUAAUAGACCACAACAAUUUGCUAAGAAAGAACUCUGUCCACUCUGUCUGUGCUUUUGCUGCAGUUGCCUAAGCACAUUGUGACUCACAGCUUCUGGAUAUUUCCAAGACCAUCCUGUAUUGAACAUAUUGUUUGCACAUUAGAUGCACAUAGAGACACUAAAACAUCACAUUGGAGUUUGUUUCUACUUACCUCAAUAAUGAUGAGGUCAAUACGGUCGCGUCCUUCAUUCUCUUCAACUUCUUUUUUAAUUCUCGCAGCUGAAGCCACCAGAUAUUCAUUGCGGCAAAAG
rnacentral:lncRNA from 1 species